GAUGAAGAACGCAGCAAAAUGCGAUAAGUAAUGUGAAUUGCAGAAUUCAGUGAAUCAUCGAAUCUUUGAACGCACAUUGCGCCCGCCAGUAUUCUGGCGGGCAUGCCUGUUCGAGCGUCAUUUCAACCCUCAAGCACAGCUUGGUGUUGGGACUCGCGUUAAUUCGCGUUCCUCAAAUUGAUUGGCGGUCACGUCGAGCUUCCAUAGCGUAGUAGUAAAACCCUCGUUACUGGUAAUCGUCGCGGCCACGCUGUUAAACCCCAACUUCUGAAUGUUGACCUCGGAUCAGGUAGGAAUACCCGCUGAACUUAAGCAUAUCAAUAAGCGGAGGA
rnacentral:misc_RNA from 1 species